AGUUCAGGACUGAAGGGUGGAAGCUGCUGGUGCUCCUCUCAGCCUCUGCCCUUGGCCUCCCCAG
ensembl:miRNA